GUGCCAGCAGCCGCGGUAAUACGGAGGGUGCAAGCGUUAUCCGGAUUUACUGGGUUUAAAGGGUGUGUAGGCGGAUAUUUAAGUCAGUGGUGAAAUCCUACAGCUUAACUGUAGAACUGCCAUUGAUACUAUUUAUCUUGAAUAUUGUUGAGGUAGGCGGAAUACAUCAUGUAGCGGUGAAAUGCUUAGAUAUGAUGUAGAACACCGAUUGCGAAGGCAGCUUACUAAGCAAAUAUUGACGCUGAGGCACGAAAGCGUGGGGAUCAAACAGGAUUAGAUACCCUGGUAGUCC
rnacentral:rRNA from 1 species